rnacentral:rRNA from 1 species
GUAGGGUGCGAGCGUUGCCCGGAUUUAUUGGGCGUAAAGGGCGCGCAGGCGGCUACGCACGUCCGUUGUGAAAUCGCUCGGCUCAACUGGGCGGGGUCAGCGGAUACGGCGUAGCUGGAGCAAGCUAGGGGGCAAUGGAAUUCCCGGUGUAGUGGUGGAAUGCGUAGAUAUCGGGAGGAACACCAGUGGCGAAGGCGGUUGCCUGGAGCUUUGCUGACGCUGAGGCGCGAAAGCGUGGGGAGCGAUCCGGAUUAGAUACCCGGGUAGUCCACGCCGUAAACGAUGCGGACUAGGUGUCGGGGGUAUCGACCCCCUCGGCGCCGCAGCUAACGCAUUAAGUCCGCCGCCUGGGGACUACGGCCGCAAGGCUA